UAGAAAACACUGUCUACCAUGUAGGCUACAGGUGUUGUGAAUCCAGAGGAAAACCAGCUCCCACGGUUCAUCUCUGAUAUUGUGGGCACUACGCCAGUACAUACACUUUCAAGUUAAGGUUGACCUUACAAUUUUACUUCCAAUCAUAAGACGUUUACUAUUACAAACAAAUGAAAAAAAUUGUACUUAUCUAUAAAAAUCUAGCCUUCUACUAUGUUUUUUCGGGCAAAUGUUAGCCUCAUUCUUUCAAUUUGCAAAUAAUACAUUACUCAAUUAAACGCUUGCUUUUAUAAUUAUAUAUAUUAGUUACACCAAAAACACGCACAAAAUACCAACAACAUACCAACAAAAAUAAUGGUCGAGUAGCAAGUUAAAAACGGAUAGAAAAUGCUUUCCCAUAACUCACCCGUAAAAUACAUAAAAACACCAAAAUGCCAAGACAAUCUCAAAAACAGAAAAUUUCAAUACCCAAAUUACUAAACUACAAAAUAUUUAAUGACUAACAUCAC
rnacentral:lncRNA from 1 species